CCGGCACGGGUGAGUAACGCGUGGGUAACCUGCCUCAUACAGGGGGAUAACAGUUAGAAAUGACUGCUAAUACCGCAUAAGACCACAGCACCGCAUGGUGCAGGGGUAAAAACUCCGGUGGUAUGAGAUGGACCCGCGUCUGAUUAGGUAGUUGGUGAGGUAACGGCCCACCAAGCCGACGAUCAGUAGCCGACCUGAGAGGGUGACCGGCCACAUUGGGACUGAGACACGGCCCAG
rnacentral:rRNA from 1 species